UACAGAGGUCCCAAGCGUUGUUCGGAUUCACUGGGCGUAAAGGGUGCGUAGGUGGCUGGGUAAGUUCGAUGUGAAAUCUCCGGGCCCAACCCGGAAACUGCAUUGAAGACUAUUUAGCUUGAGGGUCGGAAGGGAGACUGGAAUUCUCGGUGUAGCAGUGAAAUGCGUAGAUAUCGAGAGGAACACCAGUGGCGAAGGCGAGUCUCUGGACGAUUCCUGACACUGAGGCACGAAAGCUAGGGGAGCAAACAGG
rnacentral:rRNA from 1 species